rnacentral:rRNA from 1 species
UACAGAGGUCUCAAGCGUUGUUCGGAUUCAUUGGGCGUAAAGGGUGCGUAGGCGGCGCGGUAAGUCGGAUGUGAAAUCUUGGAGCUUAACUCCGAAACUGCAUUCGAUACUGCCGUGCUUGAGGACUGGAGAGGAGACUGGAAUUUACGGUGUAGCGGUGAAAUGCGUAGAUAUCGUAAGGAAGACCAGUGGCGAAGGCGGGUCGUCGUGGACAGUUCCUGACGCUGAGGCACGAAGGCCAGGGGAGCAAACGGG